UACGAACUGUGCGAACGUUAUUCGGAAUCACUGGGCUUACAGGGUGCGUAGGCGGCUUGUUAAGUAGGGUGUGAAAGCCCCCGGCUCAACCGGGGAAUUGCGCCCUAAACUGGCGAGCUGGAGUGAGAUAGGGGUGUGUGGAACUUCCGGUGGAGCGGUGAAAUGCGUUGAGAUCGGAAGGAACGCCCGUGGCGAAAGCGAGGUCCUGGACGCCUACUGACGCUGAGACGCGAAAGCCAGGGGAGCGAACGGG
rnacentral:rRNA from 1 species